UGACCGAUUUAUCUAAACCUAAUCUCCGGUUCACUCUUCAAUCUUCAUUCAGUCUUCUUCUUCGCUGCGCCGCUUCGCCGCUUCGGUCUUCCCACUUCCCCUGCAAUUGCCAAAAUUGCCUGCCGUCCCUAAUCCCUUAUCCAAACUCCAAUCUUUGAUCCAGUGCUAUUUCCACACUUGCUCAUCGAUCAAUACCCAAUUUCUUCCCGUUAGAUUUUCCUCCAGGAAUUUGGGCGAUAACCAGUUCACUGACCUACCUCACUGUCAAAGAAUAGCGGCUUAAAUUUAGUGUUUUGCUGAAGGUGAAACUAAGUGCAAAAUGCUCCAGAAUGUUCCACAUCAGAUUGUGCAAUCUCCAGCUAGGCUAGGGUUACCAAAUCCAAAUUCACCUUCUCUUCAAAACACUACUCCGGCUAAGUUUGCCUCCCAAGCCCAGCAAUCUCAUCCACCCAAUCAACAGCCAUAUGCAUCAAGCAUUAUUCCAACUUCUUCAACACUUCUUCCUCUCCUUCCCCCUCUGCCAAGAGCUCAGUCUAUUCUUCUGCAAAUGUCCUCACUUGCCUCAAGACUUUUUGAUGUCUCACCUAAUAGGUCGCAUUGGAUUAGCGCAUUUCGAGGUUCCCUACCCUCCUUCUUGUCUUCCCAAUCCCAACCUUUGACAUCAACUGCACCAGAUUCCUACCCUUCUUCCUCCAAAGAAAUUCUCGCUCUUUUCACAAACCUUCAAACUCAGCUAUUUGAAGCUGUUGCAGAGCUCCAAGAAAUUCUUGAUCUUCAAGAUGGAAAACAGAAACUCUCGCACGAAAUCAGGUCAAAAGAUGCUGCAAUUCUUGCACUUGCAAGCAAGCUCAAAGAAGCUGAGCAGGUUCUUGACAACCUUGUGGAUGAUUACUCGGAUUAUCGCCGUUCAAAACGGUCCAAGUCAGAAGAUGUUGCAGAAGAUUCUUCAACCACCACUGUGGCAUCUCAGCUGAAGCUUUCUGAUAUAUUGUCAUAUGCCCAUAGGAUAAGCUACACUACUUUUGCACCACCAGAAUUUGGUGCUGGACAGGCUCCUCUCCGUGGGGCACUCCCACCUGCUCCACAGGAGGAGCAAAUGCGGGCAUCCCAACUGUACGCUUUUGCUGAUCAUGAUGUUGGUUUACCAAAAACAGAUGAGGAUAAGAAGAAAACUAUAGAGCCAUUGAUCGAAACUCCUGUUGGGCAACCAGCAGAGCCAAAUCCACUGGCCAAUCUUGCUGGAAUGCAGGGUCUACUUCCACCUAAUAUUGCUAUGCCAUCAGGAUGGAAACCUGGAAUGCCCGUGGAGUUGCCCAGUGAUCUACCUAUUCUUCCUCCACCUGGUUGGAAACCUGGUGAUCCAGUGGCACUGCCCCCAUUGGAUUCUCUUCCUAUACCUCCUAGAAUUGAAGAGCAACAACCUCAGCAUAUCCCCCCUCCAAUGCUUACAAAGGCACCCGAGCCUAUACAAGUUCGGCAUGUGCAGCUUGACAUUGACGAUGACAGUAGUGAUUAUAGCAGUGAUGUUGGUAGCUCUGACAGUGAAGAUUAGUCCUUGAACAUUUCUCGCAAUCCGUUCUAGUACUGGUUUUGAUUCUAAGGUGUUAUUGGAAGCCUGGUUGAGUGAGCAUGAUCUUUUAAAUUGACAUUACACUGACAUUACACACUUAUGUAAUGUUUUUAUGUAGAUUCUGAUGCAAUAGAUUUUUAUGUUUUACCUUUGACGUACUUUUGUGAUAAUUGAUCAUCUUCUGGACGGUCGUACAUAUAUUGUGUCUUCCGCAAGAUGAGGAACGAAUGAAAGCAGAAAAGCUGCACCUUUUCCUCAGUCAAUACAUCUAAGUACUCCCAGAAAAUCAGCUGAAUCAGUGCCUUCAUAAAAAAGCAUUUCAGUCUUCGCAGCAUCAAGAGGAAAUUGGGAUUGUCACAGGGAAUUGGGGUUGCGGUGCUUUUGGUGGAGAUCCUCAACUUAAAGCUAUUAUUCAGUGGCUUGCUGCUUCUCAGGCAUUAAGACCUUUCAUCUUGUACCACACAUUUGGUUUGGAGACAUUGGAGGUGCUAGAUCAGGUGACUCGCUGGAUUAUAUCCCAUGAGUGGACUGUUGGAGAACUUUGGAAUAUGAUGGUUGAGUACGGAUCCAAGAGAUUAAAAGGUGAAGCCAGAGUUGGCUUUUUCAGUUGGCUCCUUCCCUUGGUAGAUUCCAAUGAUGCAUGAGCUGUUGGGCAUCACCUCAAUCUUCAUGAGAUUUACUGAGCAUUGACCAAAAUUUCUUCUUUGGUGGGCACUUUCUUGGCUUGGUGCGGCUCAUAUUUGAUUCACUAUGGAAGACUAGCAUAGUGUAAAUGCUUUCACUGUUAGUUGCACUGUGGAAAUAUAGAAUACUCGGCAUAAUUUUUCCCUAUAGGGGUGCGUGGUCUGUGUAUCUGAGGGACAUUUUAUUGUUCGUUAGUGACAAAAAAGAAGUGCAUCUGGAGUUGCUCUGCGCCAAUGGUUGAUUUUGUCUGACCCAAGAUCUCCUUUGCAAUUCACCUGUAAGGGAGAAUGGAUGAGCUCAAGGGCAGGUAAAAUGAAGGCAUUCUAGCUAUUCAUUGAACAAGAAAAUGACAGGAGAGGGGGGGUUGCAUGCACGGAGAUGGAGGGUAUUUACUAUCUGCUGCCCACUGCCCCGGAUUUGAAACUGCUGUGGAAGCAUAUGCGAUCAAACUCUGGCUUGCGACAGCAACUCUGCUGCUAUCAGAAUUUGUUGGUUAGAAAGCUUUGUCCAUAACCAACCUAGUUAUGAGGAUCUAACCCGCAUUCAUGUAAUACCUUUCUUUCUUGUUUAGUGAACGGAGGCUCGUAGAAUUCGCUGAAAGAUAGGAUCAGCUGUUUGGUACGUCUCCUUUUGUACCUAUAAUUAAGUCUAUACACGUUAGGAUGAGGUUCAAAAGUUACCAUUCAUACAAGGACCAUUAAUUUGACA